rnacentral:tRNA from 1 species
GGUAGCGCGGACUAGCGCGUCUGCCUUGUAAGCGCUAGGCUGCGGGUUCGAUUCCCGCCC